rnacentral:lncRNA from 1 species
GUUGUAUAGCUGCAGAGUUGCGGAUAAACGAUUAAACAUGUCCCACCAGUUGGCUAAGAACAUUGGACGAGCCGUUUUAACGGCUUUCCAGGCAUUUUCCGCUGGAUCACUUUCAACCACCACAGAGCCACAAGCAGCGGCCUCUUCUCAGGGCACAGCCACACAGUCAAGAUCCGCUAGCACAGCCCCCUCUGCCGGAGCACCCAGCCGCUCGACAUGGAGGAUGAGGACAUGAGCGCAUCCAGGAAGGUAUUCUGAGUGAUGAAGAUCUCAUGGAGCUUCAACGUUGG